CAGCCGCCACGGGAAUACGUAGGGUGCAAGCGUUAAUCGGAAUUACUGGGCGUAAAGCGUGCGCAGGCGGUUUGUUAAGACAGAUGUGAAAUCCCCGGGCUCAACCUGGGAACUGCAUUUGUGACUGGCAAGCUAGAGUAUGGCAGAGGGGGGUGGAAUUCCGCGUGUAGCAGUGGAAUGCGUAGAUAUGCGGAGGAACACCGAUGGCGAAGGCAGCCCCCUGGGCCAAUACUGACGCUCAUGCACGAAAGCGUGGGGAGCAAACAGGAUUAGAUACCCGGGUAGUCCCUGUCUCUUAUAC
rnacentral:rRNA from 1 species